rnacentral:lncRNA from 1 species
UUAAAAGAGCAGCAAGAAGAAAAGAAAUAGAAUCGAUGAAUCAAACGAAAUUGAGAAGAAAGAAAAGAUGCGAAUCUGCCAAGGAAUUGAUUCGGCCAAGAAUGCCCAAUUUUCAGCAAUCAAUUGAUUCCCAAAUUGAAAGAAAUCCAAUCGGCCAAACCCUAGGAAUUGGGGAUUUUUGGGUUCGAAUGGGUGCUGCCAAUAGGAGAACAACUUAAACGAUGAGAUCUUGAGUUUAAUCAAUGCUGGAAAACAAACAAGAACAGCAAAAUAUUAGAUGAGAAAUCGGCACAAGUAUAAGCAAAGAAAAGUAAAGAAAGAAAUCAAAAAUAGCAAGAAUUAAAAGAUAAGUCCUAAAGAUCCUUGAAAUCCCGAAAGAUUUCACAAAUCUCUUCAAACGGCUCUAAUCUCCCCUCCAAAGAAUAUCGAUGGCAAGAAGAAGGUUGAAGAUGGC